UAGGGAAUCUUCCACAAUGGACGCAAGUCUGAUGGAGCAACGCCGCGUGAGUGAAGAAGGUUUUCGGACCGUAAAGCUCUGUUGUUGGUGAAGAAGGAUAGAGGUAGUAACUGGCCUUUAUUUGACGGUAAUCAACCAGAAAGUCACGGCUAACUACGUGCCAGCAGCCGCGGUAAAUCGUAGGUGGCAAGCGUUGUCCGGAUUUAUUGGGCGUAAAGCGAGCGCAGGCGGAAGAAUAAGUCUGAUGUGAAAGCCCUCGGCUUAACCGAGGAAUUGCAUCGGAAACUGUUUUCUUGAGUGUAGAAGAGGAGAGUAGAACUCCAUGUGUAGCGGUGGAAUGCGUAGAUAUAUGGAAGAAUACCAGUGGCGAAGGCGGCUCUCUGGUCUGCAACUGACGCUGAGGCUCGAAAGCAUGGGUAGCGAACAGGAUUAGAUACCCUGGUAGUCCAUGCCGUAAACGAUGAGUGCUAAGUGUUGGGAGGCUUCCGCCUCUCAGUGCUGCAGCUAACGCAUUAAGCACUCCGCCUGG
rnacentral:rRNA from 1 species